GCGCAGCAGUCGAGAAUACUUUACAAUGUGCGAAAGCACGAUAAGGGAACUCUGAGUGCCUCCUAAGGAGGCUGUUCAGGUGUCUAAAAGCACCUGAAGGAAGGGCUGGGUAAGACCGGUGCCAGCCGCCGCGGUAACACCGGCAGCCCAAGUGGUAGCCACGUUUAUUGGGUCUAAAGCGUCCGUAGCCGGCUGGGUAAGUUCCUUGGGAAAUUUGGCUGCUUAACAGUCAAGCUUUCAGGGAAUACUGCCCGGCUUGGGACCGGGAGAGGUCAGAGGUACUCCAGGGGUAGGGGUGAAAUCCAUUAAUCCUUGGGGGACCACCGGUAGCGAAGGCGUCUGACCAGACCGGGUCCGACGGUGAGGGACGAAGGCUAGGGGCGCGAACCGGAUUAGAUACCCCCGUAGUU
rnacentral:rRNA from 1 species